rnacentral:rRNA from 1 species
UACGGGGGGAGCUAGCGUUUUUCGGAAUUACUGGGCGUAAAGGGCGUGUAGGCGGUUAAUAAAGUUGAAAGUGAAAUCCCUGGGCUUAACCUAGGAACUGCUUUCAAAACUCAUUAACUAGAGAACGAUAGAGGAUAGUGGAAUUCCUAGUGUAGAGGUGAAAUUCUUAGAUAUUAGGAGGAAUACCGGUGGCGAAGGCGGCUCACUGGCCCGAUACUGGACGCUGAGGCGCGAAAGCGUGGGGAGCAAACAGGAUUGAGAGU